rnacentral:rRNA from 1 species
CCUACGGGGGACAGCAGUGAGGAAUAUUGGUCAAUGGGCGUAAGCCUGAACCAGCCAAGUCGCGUGAGGGAUGAAGGUUCUAUGGAUCGUAAACCUCUUUUAUAAGGGAAUAAAGUGUGGGACGUGUCCUAUUUUGUAUGUACCUUAUGAAUAAGGAUCGGCUAACUCCGUGCCAGCAGCCGCGGUAAUACGGAGGAUCCGAGCUUUAUCCGGAUUUAUUGGGUUUAAAGGGUGCGUAGGCGGCCUUUUAAGUCAGCGGUGAAAGUCUGUGGCUCAACCGUAGAAUUGCCGUUGAAACUGGGGGGCUUGAGAAUGUAUGAGGCAGGCGGAAUGCGUUGUGUAGCGGUGAAAUGCUUAGAUAUCACGCAGAACCCCGAUUGCGAAGGCAGCCUGCCAAGCCAUGACUGACGCUGAUGCACGAAAGCGUGGGGAUCAAACAGGAUUAGAUACCCGAGUAGUC